GAACGCUGGCGGCGUGCCUAAUACAUGCAAGUCGAACGAACUCUGGUAUUGAUUGGUGCUUGCAUCAUGAUUUACAUUUGAGUGAGUGGCGAACUGGUGAGUAACACGUGGGAAACCUGCCCAGAAGCGGGGGAUAACACCUGGAAACAGAUGCUAAUACCGCAUAACAACUUGGACCGCAUGGUCCGAGCUUGAAAGAUGGCUUCGGCUAUCACUUUUGGAUGGUCCCGCGGCGUAUUAGCUAGAUGGUGGGGUAACGGCUCACCAUGGCAAUGAUACGUAGCCGACCUGAGAGGGUAAUCGGCCACAUUGGGACUGAGACACGGCCCAAACUCCUACGGGAGGCAGCAGUAGGGAAUCUUCCACAAUGGACGAAAGUCUGAUGGAGCAACGCCGCGUGAGUGAAGAAGGGUUUCGGCUCGUAAAACUCUGUUGUUAAAGAAGAACAUAUCUGAGAGUAACUGUUCAGGUAUUGACGGUAUUUAACCAGAAAGCCACGGCUAACUACGUGCCAGCAGCCGCGGUAAUACGUAGGUGGCAAGCGUUGUCCGGAUUUAUUGGGCGUAAAGCGAGCGCAGGCGGUUUUUUAAGUCUGAUGUGAAAGCCUUCGGCUCAACCGAAGAAGUGCAUCGGAAACUGGGAAACUUGAGUGCAGAAGAGGACAGUGGAACUCCAUGUGUAGCGGUGAAAUGCGUAGAUAUAUGGAAGAACACCAGUGGCGAAGGCGGCUGUCUGGUCUGUAACUGACGCUGAGGCUCGAAAGUAUGGGUAGCAAACAGGAUUAGAUACCCUGGUAGUCCAUACCGUAAACGAUGAAUGCUAAGUGUUGGAGGGUUUCCGCCCUUCAGUGCUGCAGCUAACGCAUUAAGCAUUCCGCCUGGGGAGUACGGCCGCAAGGCUGAAACUCAAAGGAAUUGACGGGGGCCCGCACAAGCGGUGGAGCAUGUGGUUUAAUUCGAAGCUACGCGAAGAACCUUACCAGGUCUUGACAUACUAUGCAAAUCUAAGAGAUUAGACGUUCCCUUCGGGGACAUGGAUACAGGUGGUGCAUGGUUGUCGUCAGCUCGUGUCGUGAGAUGUUGGGUUAAGUCCCGCAACGAGCGCAACCCUUAUUAUCAGUUGCCAGCAUUAAGUUGGGCACUCUGGUGAGACUGCCGGUGACAAACCGGAGGAAGGUGGGGAUGACGUCAAAUCAUCAUGCCCCUUAUGACCUGGGCUACACACGUGCUACAAUGGAUGGUACAACGAGUUGCGAACUCGCGAGAGUAAGCUAAUCUCUUAAAGCCAUUCUCAGUUCGGAUUGUAGGCUGCAACUCGCCUACAUGAAGUCGGAAUCGCUAGUAAUCGCGGAUCAGCAUGCCGCG
rnacentral:rRNA from 2 species